rnacentral:snRNA from 1 species
GGACACGAGGCCCUUUUGGCUGCUGCACCUGUCAUCUCGUUGCUCUCCAGCAUUGCUUGGCUGAUCCCAGUGGGCUAGGUGGGUGACCCCUCCUCCCUCAUCAUUCGAUGCUCAUCUCGCCCAAAGCUGCAUGGGCGGUGGGAGAGGAGGACCUUCCCUGCUACCAGAGAACAGCUCUUUGGUCAAGCAUAUACAAGUAGUUGUGCUCCCCUGUUAGUACCACCAAACAAACAAGAAACAAACACAACAACAAAAACCUGUACAACCCUCUCAAAGUAGAGAGCACUAUUU